rnacentral:tRNA from 1 species
AUAAUUUUUAAGUUAUGUAAACUAUAGACCUUCCAAGUCUACAAAAAGAUUCUCUUAAGAUUAA